UUAAGCGACUAAGCGUACACGGUGGAUGCCCUGGCAGUCAGAGGCGAUGAAGGACGUGCUAAUCUGCGAAAAGCGACGGCGAGGUGAUAUGAACCUUUGACCCGUCGAUGUCCGAAUGGGGAAACCCAGUGCAAUCCGUUGCACUAUCGUUAACUGAAUACAUAGGUUAACGAGGCGAACCGGGGGAACUGAAACAUCUAAGUACCCCGAGGAAAAGAAAUCAACCGAGAUUCCCCCAGUAGCGGCGAGCGAACGGGGAGCAGCCCGGAGUCUGAAUCAGCUUGUGUGUUAGUGGAAGCGUCUGGAAAGUCGCACGGUACAGGGUGACAGUCCCGUACACGAAAAUGCACAGGUUGUGAACUCGAAGAGUAGGGCGGGACACGUGGUAUCCUGUCUGAAUAUGGGGGGACCAUCCUCCAAGGCUAAAUACUCCUGACUGACCGAUAGUGAACCAGUACCGUGAGGGAAAGGCGAAAAGAACCCCGGCGAGGGGAGUGAAAAAGAACCUGAAACCGUGUACGUACAAGCAGUGGGAGCACCUUCGGGUGUGACUGCGUACCUUUUGUAUAAUGGGUCAGCGACUUAUAUUCUGUAGCAAGGUUAACCGUAUAGGGGAGCCGCAGGGAAACCGAGUCUUAACUGGGCGUUAAGUUGCAGGGUAUAGACCCGAAACCCGGUGAUCUAGCCAUGGGCAGGUUGAAGGUUGGGUAACACUAACUGGAGGACCGAACCGACUAAUGUUGAAAAAUUAGCGGAUGACCUGUGGCUGGGGGUGAAAGGCCAAUCAAACCGGGAGAUAGCUGGUUCUCCCCGAAAGCUAUUUAGGUAGCGCCUCGUGAAUUCAUCUUCGGGGGUAGAGCACUGUUUCGGCUAGGGGGCCAUCCCGGCUUACCAACCCGAUGCAAACUACGAAUACCGAAGAAUGUUAUCACGGGAGACACACGGCGGGUGCUAACGUCCGUCGUGAAGAGGGAAACAACCCAGACCGCCAGCUAAGGUCCCAAAGUCAUGGUUAAGUGGGAAACGAUGUGGGAAGGCACAGACAGCCAGGAUGUUGGCUUAGAAGCAGCCAUCAUUUAAAGAAAGCGUAAUAGCUCACUGGUCGAGUCGGCCUGCGCGGAAGAUGUAACGGGGCUAAACCAUGCACCGAAGCUGCGGCAGCGACACUAUGUGUUGUUGGGUAGGGGAGCGUUCUGUAAGCCGUUGAAGGUGUGCUGUGAGGCAUGCUGGAGGUAUCAGAAGUGCGAAUGCUGACAUAAGUAACGAUAAAGCGGGUGAAAAGCCCGCUCGCCGGAAGACCAAGGGUUCCUGUCCAACGUUAAUCGGGGCAGGGUGAGUCGACCCCUAAGGCGAGGCCGAAAGGCGUAGUCGAUGGGAAACAGGUUAAUAUUCCUGUACUUGGUGUUACUGCGAAGGGGGGACGGAGAAGGCUAUGUCAGCCGGGCGACGGUUGUCCCGGUUUAAGCGUGUAGGUGUGUGUUCCAGGCAAAUCCGGUUCACUUUAACACUGAGGCGUGAUGACGAGGCACUACGGUGCUGAAGUGAUAAAUGCCCUGCUUCCAGGAAAAGCCUCUAAGCAUCAGGUAACAUCAAAUCGUACCCCAAACCGACACAGGUGGUCAGGUAGAGAAUACCAAGGCGCUUGAGAGAACUCGGGUGAAGGAACUAGGCAAAAUGGUGCCGUAACUUCGGGAGAAGGCACGCUGAUAUGUAGGUGAAGCCCCUGCGGGCGGAGCUGAAAUCAGUCGAAGAUACCAGCUGGCUGCAACUGUUUAUUAAAAACACAGCACUGUGCAAACACGAAAGUGGACGUAUACGGUGUGACGCCUGCCCGGUGCCGGAAGGUUAAUUGAUGGGGUUAGCGGCAACGCGAAGCUCUUGAUCGAAGCCCCGGUAAACGGCGGCCGUAACUAUAACGGUCCUAAGGUAGCGAAAUUCCUUGUCGGGUAAGUUCCGACCUGCACGAAUGGCGUAAUGAUGGCCAGGCUGUCUCCACCCGAGACUCAGUGAAAUUGAACUCGCUGUGAAGAUGCAGUGUACCCGCGGCAAGACGGAAAGACCCCGUGAACCUUUACUAUAGCUUGACACUGAACACUGGUCCUUGAUGUGUAGGAUAGGUGGGAGGCUUUGAAGCGUGGACGCCAGUCUGCGUGGAGCCGUCCUUGAAAUACCACCCUUUAAUGGCUGGUGUUCUAACGUGGACCCGUGAUCCGGGUUGCGGACAGUGUCUGGUGGGUAGUUUGACUGGGGCGGUCUCCUCCCAAAGAGUAACGGAGGAGCACGAAGGUUAGCUAAUCCUGGUCGGACAUCAGGAGGUUAGUGCAAUGGCAUAAGCUAGCUUGACUGCGAGAGUGACGGCUCGAGCAGGUGCGAAAGCAGGUCAUAGUGAUCCGGUGGUUCUGAAUGGAAGGGCCAUCGCUCAACGGAUAAAAGGUACUCCGGGGAUAACAGGCUGAUACCGCCCAAGAGUUCAUAUCGACGGCGGUGUUUGGCACCUCGAUGUCGGCUCAUCACAUCCUGGGGCUGAAGUAGGUCCCAAGGGUAUGGCUGUUCGCCAUUUAAAGUGGUACGCGAGCUGGGUUUAGAACGUCGUGAGACAGUUCGGUCCCUAUCUGCCGUGGGCGCUGGAGAAUUGAGGGGGGCUGCUCCUAGUACGAGAGGACCGGAGUGGACGCAUCACUGGUGUUCGGGUUGUCAUGCCAAUGGCACUGCCCGGUAGCUAAAUGCGGAAGAGAUAAGUGCUGAAAGCAUCUAAGCACGAAACUUGCCCCGAGAUGAGUUCUCCCUGAGACUUUAAGUCUCCUGAAGGAACGUUGAAGACGACGACGUUGAUAGGCCGGGUGUGUAAGCGCAGCGAUGCGUUGAGCUAACCGGUACUAAUGAACCGUGAGGCUUAACCU
rnacentral:rRNA from 1 species